CGCCUUGCCAGCCGCUCAGAAACUCAAGGAAUUGACGGGGCCCGCACAAGCGGCGGAGCAUGUGGAUUAAUUCGAUGCAACGCGAAGAACCUUACCUGGGUUUGACAUACACCGGAAAACCGUAGAGAUACGGUCCCCCUUGUGGUCGGUGUACAGGUGGUGCAUGGCUGUCGUCAGCUCGUGUCGUGAGAUGUUGGGUUAAGUCCCGCAACGAGCGCAACCCUUGUCUUAUGUUGCCAGCACGUGAUGGUGGGGACUCGUAAGAGACUGCCGGGGUCAACUCGGAGGAAGGUGGGGACGACGUCAAGUCAUCAUGCCCCUUAUGUCCAGGGCUUCACACAUGCUACAAUGGCCAGUACAGAGGGCUGCGAGACCGUGAGGUGGAGCGAAUCCCUUAAAGCUGGUCUCAGUUCGGAUCGGGGUCUGCAACUCGACUGCGUGAAGUCGGAAUCGCUAGUAAUCGUGAAUCAGAAUGUCACGGUGAAUACGUUCCCGGGCCUU
rnacentral:rRNA from 1 species